UCCAAACAAUUUUUACCAGAAAUUCCAUAAAAAAUUGAUUAUUUACUAUAAAUUAAAAGAAUAUUUAAUGCGCAUAUAACAUGAAUUGUAAAAAAUGUAAAUUAACUAAACUACAAUUCCAAAAUUGUUUAAACAUUAAUUGUUUAAUUUUGAACUUUCAAAUAAUACGUUGCCCACUGGAUGCAAAGCGUCUUCAAUCUCUCUAGUUCCAAUGGUCUAGCAUCAUUGAAAUUCUACAUGACAUAAUAAAACAUAAGUCAAUAAUAUAUAAUACCAAUUAUAACAAAAUGAAAUACGUUUGAAUUAAACAAUUAUCGUUUCCCAAUUAUUCUGGAAACUUCCUAAGAUUAUAGUUGACAUCCAGUCCAUGACGUAAUACCCACACUCAGUGCUUCCUUUUUGUCUAUUACACUAAAUACAUUAUGAAAUUUAGAUAUUCAAUGUUAAGUAUAAAUUAGUCUACACAGUAUUUAAA
rnacentral:lncRNA from 1 species